UCUUUUUGUUUAUUUGUUUGUUUGUUUGUUUUUUGAGACAGGGUUUCUCUGUGUAGCCCUGGCUUUCCUGGAACUCUCUUUGGAGACCAGGCUGGCCUCAGACUCACAGAGAUCUGCCUGCCCCUGCCUCCUGAGUGCUGGGACUAAAGGUGUGUGCCACCACCA